rnacentral:lncRNA from 1 species
UUGACUGAGAUCAGAGGUUCUAGAAUAUUUCAGUAUCUCUGGUGAGUAGAAGUUCUACUGGUACCCCAUGUCCUCUUCUUCUUUGCAAAUUAUUGUCUCUCUCACCACAGCCCUUCCCUUUUCCUAUGUUACUUCCCAUUUUCAGCCCUCCAUUACAAGUUUACAGAUCACAAGGUCACUGAAAUAAAUCACUAUGUGAAAAAAAACAGCUAUGAAAUAGUUGAAGAAUUUUCCUUCUAGUUUAAAGGAAAACCUGGAAAAUAUUUUCAUCUAUAUGUCUAGCAAUCUCCUUAUUCAACAACAUUUCACAACAGGGAGCUGUAUCAUUCAUUUUGGAAAAAACCUGUAUUUCCUUCUGCCUUGAGGACUUCGUUUAACAUUUGUCAGGCAAGGCUGCUGAUGGUGGUCAACCACAGUGUGCAAGUCAAUGGCAAGGAUGUGGCAUCCAACAGCUCCCUCAUCGCUGUGUGCAGCUCAAUGGAAAGGCUGUGUUUUGAUUUGCAAAAUGGCUAUGAUUUGCAAAAUGCAACAUCUGUUCCAAGUAAACAAAUAUUCCAAACCACCUCUUGAACUGGAAGUUUGGAUUCAGCAGCACUGCUUUCUGUCUUGUUUUUCCAGGUUCUUCAAGAAAUUUAUGCAGCACAGCUGAAGCCUCAUACAAGUGUAUCCAACACCGUGGCUGGAGGGAAAGAUAUCACGGUAUAAGCCAUAAAAUGUGACAUAGUAAGUAAGUAAAGGAGGAAAAGUGAGAAUUCUGUUACUCAUCUAAACGACCGCUUCCUUUUAAUAGUACCAAAUGAAGACCGAAAUACAGUAAUAAUUGAAAAGUUAGGGAGAAAUCUUAAAUUUUUUUAAGUCUCCACUUGAAAAUGCAGCUGAAACACGGAAAGUUUUUUGGCAGUGAAAUUCGCUGAAAACUGACAUUUUUAUGCCGCAUCCAGAGGUCCCUAUGCUCCAGGAAAGGUACCAAAAACAGCACGGAUGGGAUUUCACUACAGCCCUAUUGAUCCUAUGCACCAAAAGGCCAAAGGCAAAUAAACCAGUCCCAGAAUUAAAACAAAACAGGCUGGUUCAGAAAGCCUCACCGGCAGCCACCCAAAGUUGAAAGAAGAAAACUUAAUGAAAUACCUUAUUUCAUUGCAUAGAAUCACAAUUCAGUUAACAGGCUUAUUGUUUAAGCAGUGUAAAUACGCGAUUUAACACCUGCGGGCACUGCCUGCCGGGACUGGGCAGAAGCGUGCCCAGAGGACGGCGGGCGCCACACUGCACAGCCAGGAGACGAGACGCGAGCGAGGGGACCCGGAGAUACUGCCCCCGAGCCGCCGCGCGCCCCCAAAGGAGUAACGCUUCGCUUUCCAUCUGUCUGUCCAGCCUUCCUUUUGGGCC